UUGACCUCAAAUCAGGUAGGACUACCCGCUGAACUUAAGCAUAUCACUAAGCGG
rnacentral:rRNA from 1 species